rnacentral:rRNA from 1 species
GCGGAUCAGCCCGCUCCCGGUAAAACGGGACGGCCCGCCAGAGGACCCCUAAAACUCUGUUUCUAUAUGUAACUUCUGAGUAAAACCAUAAAUAAAUCAAAACUUUCAACAACGGAUCUCUUGGUUCUGGCAUCGAUGAAGAACGCAGCAAAAUGCGAUAAGUAAUGUGAAUUGCAGAAUUCAGUGAAUCAUCGAAUCUUUGAACGCACAUUGCGCCCGCCAGUAUUCUGGCGGGCAUGCCUGUUCGAGCGUCAUUUCAACCCUCAAGCACAGCUUGGUGUUGGGACUCGCGUUAAUUCGCGUUCCUCAAAUUGAUUGGCGGUCACGUCGAGCUUCCAUAGCGUAGUAGUAAAACCCUCGUUACUGGUAAUCGUCGCGGCCACGCCGUUAAACCCCAACUUCUGAAUGUUGACCUCGGAUCAGGUAGGAAUACCCGCUGAACUUAAGCAUAU